CCAGCCGCUAUAAAUGUGCUGCCCGACAUCCGAGGGGCAUCAGUCGACUCAAAGCGGCAGUAUGAAGACCCUCGUGUUCCUGUUUGUGGUGCUGGCUGUGGUGUGCGCGGCUCUGGCCGUGCCCGGCCCUCUGCCCCUACCACGUCCUGGCCCAGUGCCGAUCCCUGCUGCGCCCAGGGAGACCCUGCGUGGCAGCGAGCAGGUCUACUACGGUGUUUACUACCCGUAUUUAGUCUGAUGAUCUGACACUGUACUCCGGCAUCAUCCAGUGACGGCAUUAUCGACUUGGCAUCGACACGGACAUCCCCUCUAAAGCUCCUGGCCAAAAUGUGUUUUAUGUAUACUUUGUCUGGACUCCUACUUCUCAAUAAAAAUUAUUCUAUCUACUGA